rnacentral:misc_RNA from 1 species
AAACUGAAACUGACUUCCCUGCCUGUUGGUUGAUUGUGCAUGUACAGCGAUGGCGAAUAUCAAGAGAGCACCUUUACCAGAAGAAGCGGCAUGGAAAGAACUGCAAAGUUACUUCGAUUCUGAGGGAUCUAAACUAAACAUGAUGAAAAUGUUUCAGGAUGAUGCCUCUAGAUUUGACAAAUUCAGUCAGAAGUUGCCAACAAAAGAUGGUGAUCUUCUCUUGGAUUAUUCCAAAAACUUGGUGGACAGUAAAACUAUGGGUUUGCUGUUUAAACUGGCAAAAGAGAGGAAGGUGCAAGAGAUGAGAGCAGCCAUGUUUGCUGGUGAAAAGAUCAACUUCACGGAGAACAGGGCUGUCCUACAUGUCGCUCUCCGCAAUAGAUCCAACACGCCUGUAACAGUUGAUGGAAAAGAUGUGAUGCCAGAUGUCAAUGGAGUGUUGAAACACAUGCGGGAGUUCACUGAGUCUGUUCAGGGUGGGAGCUGGAAGGGCUACACAGGGAAAGCCAUCACUGACGUAGUCAACAUCGGCAUCGGCGGGUCAGACCUGGGACCGUUGAUGGUGACAGAGGCUCUGAAGCCAUACAGAACCGGUCCCAGUGUACAUUUUGUUUCCAACAUUGAUGGAACACACAUGGCCGAAACUCUGAAAAAACUGAACCCAGAAACCACCCUGUUCAUCAUUGCUUCCAAGACAUUUACAACACAAGAAACCAUCACCAAUGCUGAGUCUGCCAAAGCCUGGCUACUGGAGGCUGCCAAGGAGAAAAGUGCCAUAGCUAAACAUUUUGUCGCUCUCUCUACAAAUGCUACAAAAGUGAAAGAAUUCGGAAUAGAUGAGAAAAAUAUGUUUGAGUUUUGGGAUUGGGUCGGAGGUCGUUAUUCCCUGUGGUCGGCCAUUGGAAUGUCCAUCGCGCUUUUUAUUGGAAUGGACAAUUUUGAAGACUUGCUGGCAGGAGGCCACUUCAUGGACAACCACUUUGUUAACUCUCCAAUGGAAUCUAAUAUUCCUAUUAUUUUGGCUUUGAUUGGAGUAUGGUAUAAUAACUUCUUUGGGUCAGAAACCCAGAUUUGCUGCCUACUUCCAGCAGGGAGAUAUGGAAAGCAAUGGGAAAUACAUCACCAGGAGUGGUCAGAGGUGUGCCUACAAGACAGGGCCCAUCAUUUGGGGCGAACCAGGGACGAACGGCCAGCAUGCUUUCUACCAGCUCAUUCACCAAGGUACAAGGUUAAUUCCAUGUGACUUUUUAAUGCCUGUAAAGACCCAGAAUCCAAUUCAAAAUGGCCUUCACCAUGAGAUUCUGUCAGCUAACUUCCUUGCCCAGACUGAGGCCCUGAUGAGGGGAAAGUCCGCCGAUGUGGCUCGAGCGGAAUUGGUCAAGUCUGGAAUGUCCCAGGCCGACAUUGAUCAUAUCCUCCCCCACAAGGUGUUUGAGGGUAACAGACCCAGCAAUUCAAUUCUGUUCCAGAAAUUGACUCCUUUCACAUUAGGUCUUCUUAUUGCAAUGUAUGAACACAAGAUCUUUGUUCAGGGAAUUAUAUGGGAUAUCAACUCCUAUGACCAGUGGGGAGUUGAGCUUGGAAAGCAGCUUGCCAAACAAAUUCAACCUGAGCUGAAAGGAAAAGACCCUGUCUCUAGUCAUGAUGGCUCCACCAAUGGACUGAUCAACUUCAUCAAGGCCAGCAUGUGAUUCUGUUUACGAUGAUUCAGCCGUGACAGUCCUUUUAUACUGGACAGCAUUGUUCUUUGUCUCUCCAUUGAUCUGACAUUUGUUGCCAUACGAUAGUGAAAACCAGACCUAUGCAGAUGUGCUUCUUAAAGAAAUUCAACUUAAUGGUCUAUUGCUUGUAGUUAAGACUGGUUACAUUGUAUACUUGUGUUUUAUCUAGGAUUGUUAUAGAACAUUGUUUUAUGAAUUGUAGUACAAUAAACAUGUAAAAAAAAAAAUAGAAAUAUAAUAUAUGGGCACAAGAGCACCCCACCCCAAAAAUAUUUAUGGAGAAUCUGUUAUGCCAGUACCUACACUUCUAGCAUGUAAACGCUUCAAUUAACUGUACCAGGUAAAUUAGUAGGGACCUACAUGUAUACAUGUUCUGUACAUUUAUAUUAUAUUUGUCCCUAGCUAAACAGCUUAUCCGUUACUUGAUAAUUCUGGAUAUGAUAUGAAUUGUUAAUAAAUUAUUUAUC